UUCCGAACGACGGCCUUGUGUGGCACACAUCCAACUUCAUCCGCAUGAUGAAGCAUUGGUAUGGCUUUGCCAUUGUAGGACUUUGUUUGCUGCUCGAAAGGACGAGCUGUGCGUUGCAGAAAGGAGCUAUCGAGCCGAAAAAAACGGCGAAUUAUUUGGUGAAGGAGAAUUCUGUAGCACGUGUAAGCCAGGUGGAAAUAAAUACUAAUUAUGAUCCUAAAAAAGCCACCACGGCGACUGCCAGAAGACCGACAGUGCAGCAACCUAAAAUAUUAAUUAACGGACAACCAAUACAGAAUCUCCAGUCACUAGUGCAGCAGAUUAAACCCACCGCAGCACAGUCGAGUAAACGAGUUCAGCAAGUGCUAGUCAUACAACAGCCACAGCGUGUGGUUCAGCAAACCGUAGCAUCAGCUCCAAAGACUCAAAUUAUUAAGCUGCAGAAAAUAGUGCAACAGGUCCAGCCCAGUAGGACAAGUGCUCCGCGGACUCAAAUCAUCAUACAACAGCCACAACGUGUACAGCAGGUUCAGCGAACCGGGACAAACGCCAAGAGCACCCAAAUAAUUAUACAGCAGCCACAACGUGUGCAGCAGGUUCUGCGAACCGGUACAAACGCUCAACGCACUCAAAUCUACUUACAACAGGCCCA